AUGAAUCUGCUGCUGGAGAGUGCAAAAAAUGGCCUCUGCUGCUGCUGGAAAAUAGUUUACGUCCUCCUCUCUUUCUCUUCUUCUUUCUUGCCAAAAAUGCCUUUCUUCCUCCUUGUGGAAAGAAAUAGAUAAAUGAGAUUUUAUAUGGGUCAGAGAUCUGCCCUAGAAUUGGUAAAAAGGUGGAAGAUUCAAGAGAAAGUGAGGUGUAAAAUUAGAGUAACGAAAAUGCCACGUUAACCAUU
rnacentral:misc_RNA from 1 species